GAUGAACGCUGGCGGCGUGCCUAAUACAUGCAAGUCGAGCGAACAGACGAGUAGCUUUCUCCUUUGACGUUAGCGGCGGACGGGUGAGUAACACGUGGAUAACCUACCUAUAAGACUGGGAUAACUUCGGGAAACCGGAGCUAAUACCGGAUAACAUGUUGAACCGCAUGGUUCAACAGUGAAAGACGGUCUUGCUGUCACUUAUAGAUGGAUCCGCGCCGCAUUAGCUAGUUGGUAAGGUAACGGCUUACCAAGGCAACGAUGCGUAGCCGACCUGAGAGGGUGAUCAGCUACACUGGAACUGGCACACGGUCCAGACUCUAAAGGGUGGAAGAAGUAGGGAAUAUUCAGCAAUGGGCGAAAGCCUGAGGGAGCAACGACGAGUGAGUGAAGAAGGUCUUCGGAUCGUAAAACUCUGUUAUUAGGGAAGAACAAAUGUGUAAGCAAAUAUGCACGUCUUGACGGUACCUAAUCAGAAAGCCACGGCUAACUACGUG
rnacentral:rRNA from 1 species